UGUGGAACAGAAAAUUAAAUUGCUUAACUAAGCCAAUUUCGCGGACAUGCUCUGAACUGCUUCAGUUAAAGUACUUUAGCUCAGCUGAAGCUUUUACGAAUAUUAAAUUUGCUAAAAAGGCUUCGACUUGGGCUUUCUUUAUUCACAAUAUCUUUAAAGUACUUUCACUCCGAAGGUCAAACAAUAAGCUUGUCAACUUGACCCAAUUCAGCUGAAAGCAAUUUGCUGCAUUCUUGAGCGCUGCUUAAAGUCCCCAGGGGCUGGCUGAUAAUGUGGCUUCGCACCUUAAUGUGGUCACAUUUGGGUUGAUGGCAUUCACUCCGUGAGCCACUCACUCGUUCAGUCAUUCUCUCAGCUUAUCAAUGUGUGAUCAAAGUCCAACUUAAGAAUUUAUACUAAAUUGUAGAGUUCUUGGAAAGCAGCCACCCGACUCACUUGCCACCUGUUGAGGACCAGGACCUCUGUCCGUGCGCUGAUAUGAAGCAAGGCUUAUGUGGCGCUUCGGGUUUUAAGUUUGAGUUUGAGUAAUUGCCACGUCCGUGGCGGGUGUUUAAGUUUUAAUUGAAUUUGAUCGAAUGCAUGUGAUAAAAUUAAUUGAAGAGACA